GUCUAUAGCCAUGCCAUCCUGAGCAAGCCCAAUCCUGUCUUAUCUCGGAAGCUAAGCAGUGUUGGUCCUGGUUAGUACUUGGAUGGGAGACCACCUAGGAAGACCAGGUGCUGUAGGCA
rnacentral:rRNA from 1 species